rnacentral:rRNA from 1 species
AUUGAACGCUGGCGGCAGGCCUCACACAUGCAAGUCGAACGAGUGGCGGACGGGUGAGUAAUGUCUGGGAAACUGCCCGAUGGAGGGGGAUAACUACUGGAAACGGUAGCUAAUACCGCAUACCAUUGGAGGGGCCCAUAUGGGAUUAGCUAGUAGGUGGGGUAACGGCUCACCAAGGCGACGAUCCCUAGCUGGUUUGAGAGGAUGACCAGCCACACGGGAACUGAGACACGGUCCAGACUCCUACGUGAUGCAGCAGUGGGGAAGAUUGCACAAUGGGGGAAAGCCUGAUGCAGCCAUGCCGCGUGUAUGAAGAAGGCCUUCGGGUUGUAAAGUACUUUCAGCGAAGAGGCGUUACUCGCAGAAGAAGCACCGGCUAACUCCGUGCCAGCCGCCGCGGUAAUUC